rnacentral:rRNA from 1 species
CCUACGGGAGGCAGCAGUGGGGAAUAUCGCACAAUGGGCGAAAGCCUGAUGCAGCAACGCCGCGUGAGUGAUGAAGGCUUUCGAGUCGUAAAGCUCUUUGAUCAGGGAUGAUAAUGACAGUACCUGAAAAACAAGCCACGGCUAACUACGUGCCAGCAGCCGCGGUAAUACGUAGGUGGCGAGCGUUGUCCGGAAUUACUGGGCGUAAAGGAUGCGUAGGUGGAUAUUUAAGUGGGAUGUGAAAUCCCCGGGCUCAACCCGGGAACUGCAUUCCAAACUGGAUAUCUAGAGUGCAGGAGAGGAAAGCGGAAUUCCUAGUGUAGCGGUGAAAUGCGUAGAUAUUAGGAGGAACACCAGUGGCGAAGGCGGCUUCCUGGACUGUACCUGACGCUGAUGAGCGAAAGCUGGGGGAGCAAACA